UACGUAGGUGGCAAGCGUUGUCCGGAUUUAUUGGGUUUAAAGGGUGCGUAGGCGGCUUUGUAAGUCAGUGGUGAAAUAUGGCAGCUCAACUGUCAAGGUGCCAUUGAUACUGCAGAGCUUGAGUACAGAUGAGGUAGGCGGAAUUGACGGUGUAGCGGUGAAAUGCUUAGAUAUCGUCAAGAACACCUAUAGCGAAGGCAGCUUACUAGGCUGUAACUGACGCUGAGGCACGAAAGCGUGGGGAGCAAACGGG
rnacentral:rRNA from 1 species